UAAUGAAAUAGGUUGCCUAACUCGGAGAAGGGCCUUAGGCAAAUACUGGAAGCCAGAGUCCUAAUCCAAGAGGUCGGAAAGAUAAUAUAGCAGAAGCAGCCUCAUUUUCAAAAGCCAAGAGGAAAACGGAACACAUUCCUGAGCUCAUUCUCCUCUACUGCAGAAAGGCUUUGCCCACACAACAGAAAUAUGGCUCCUGGCCUCUCCAGCUAAGCAACUCCAGUAGAAAAAUUCCUUCUCGUGUUGUGUGUACAUCAGUACAAAGGGAAGGAUUCUGGCCAUUCUCCACGUAUGAUUGGGACAUCGGAUGAUUCUGGAGAGGGUUCCUGUAAGCCACAGCCCCAAAACAAACCCAUGGAAUAGGGGAAGGAAAGUUCUCCCUCAAAAAGGAUGCUGAAGAGCAAUAGUUUUUAAAAAUAUUCUUUACUACCAUUAAUCAAAUAAUAAGAGGCUUAUGGGCAGAAAUAUCAGCAGGGGAAAAUUAAGGCAGAGUAAUUGUUAGGACCACAGAACCUGGAAACAGCUUUCCUGGGUGAAUUCCAGCCUCACACUUAAGCUGUGGGACCAAAUUACAAGAUCUCUUUAAGCCUCACUUAUUUCACCUAUAAAAAGAGAGACCAAUGUUCCCUAUGUCAGUAAAUUACCAUGAGGAUUAAAUUUAUAUAAAAUGCCAAGCACAAAGUAAUGAUUAUAACGGUUGGCUAUUAGCUGCUUCUAUCACUAUAUUGCUGUUAGUAUUAAGAUCAUACAACAGGUACAUAGUAAAUGCUGGAGUCUGAACUAAAGCAAUGCCCCCUGAUGCCUGACCUAAAGUACUUCCUACUACAGUGUGAAUUAGAGCAGGUGAGCAUUGGAGAGCAGCAGGUAAAACAGUAGUGGAGGUGAGUUAAGCAGGAUUAUGCUGCUGACAUUUCUAGAUCCUUGCCAGAGGCCAAGUGUCCAGUGACCUCUUCUUUAUUUCUUACUUUAUAGUUACUAUUAUCACCCAUUUUAUAGAAUAGGAAACUGAGGCCUAGAAUGAUUAACUUGCC
rnacentral:lncRNA from 1 species